rnacentral:rRNA from 1 species
UCCUACGGGAGGCUGCAGUGAGGAAUAUUGGACAAUGGGUGGAAGCCUGAUCCAGCCAUCCCGCGUGAAGGAUGACGGUCCUAUGGAUUGUAAACUUCUUUUGUACAGGGAUAAAUCUGCCCUCGUGAGGGCAGCUGAAGGUACUGUACGAAUAAGCACCGGCUAACUCCGUGCCAGCAGCCGCGGUAAUACGGAGGGUGCGAGCGUUAUCCGGAUUUAUUGGGUUUAAAGGGUCCGUAGUCGGGCCUGUAAGUCAGUGGUGAAAUCUCAUAGCUUAACUAUGAAACUGCCAUUGAUACUGCAGGCCUUGAGUAAAUUUGAAGUGGCUGGAAUAAGUAGUGUAGCGGUGAAAUGCAUAGAUAUUACUUAGAACACCGAUUGCGAAGGCAGGUCACUAAGAUUUAACUGACGCUGAUGGACGAAAGCGUGGGGAGCGAACAGGAUUAGAUACCAGAGUAGUCA